rnacentral:lncRNA from 1 species
ACUCUCUCAUUUCUCACAUUCACUCUUGGGAAAACCUAGAGUUUCUCUCAAGGAAAAACGACCACCCCAUGAGCCCCCUCCUGCAAGGUUGUCGUGGCCUCCUCCAGUCCUUGCACAUCCGACCACCUCCUGACCCCAAAGCUUCACCGGAAACACCAGGGGUCGCCGGAACAUUGCUAGCCGUGGCAUCCCUGACUUUUCCCCUUCCUCUCGCUUACUCAAAGCAAAUGUCAUCACUGGAACCGAGUGCCUCUGCCGUUCUCCGAUAGCCACCAUCACCUAGAACCGGUCACCGUCAUCGUCAAUCCCUCGCGCCGUCAAAGCCAUCGUGACCUCUAGACGUUCAACCACGGCAGCCACCAUGCCGUCGAUUGUUCGCGCACGGCGUCGCCUACGUCGUCCGAAUCAACUCCGACCACAACUCCGAUGAAACUCAACCUUCCUUGCUUCGCAAUUCUUGUCGUCGCGCCCCCUUGCUCCAAGUUCGUUCAUCGCAAGUGAGAACAAAACGUUCUCACUCCCGCAACUUCCCCUCCCGAUUCAUGGUGAUCCCGACCAUUGAUACUACCAACUCUGUAUCAUCUCCAUGUACUACUGCUUCUAUUUAUUUAUUAUUUUUUUUUUAUUGAAAGUUUGUUAUAUCCAAAAAAAAUGUGAUGAGAAACAGGAUUGUCAUAUCAUAUGGGUUGAAAAUGCUGUCUGAGAUUGCUCCUGUUUGUAUUGUUUCUGUUUUGGGUAAUUUGAAAUAGGGAUAUGAUGAAUUUAGGGCCAGGUUCUUCUGUUGGGAUGAAACGGCUAUGAAGUUCUUCACGGUGUAAGUGAAGGUCGACGAUGUAACGGGGUUGGGCUGUGUGCGAGAGGGGUUUUUUUCUUUUGCUGGUUUGGUCUUCUCUUCUUUUUUUUUGUUAAUACAGGGGCGUUGGUCUUGGUGUAACAAGAGAACUGAAACUGGGGGUUGUUGGUGUUAGGGCCGUGUGUGAAGAUUAUUUGAUGGUUUUGAUGGUGGAGAGAACUCAAAGUGAUACGGGAUAAUGGUGGUAAUACCAAAUAAUGAUGGAGAUCAUCAAUGGAGGAUAAAAAAAAUGCAGGGAUUUUCACAUCAUAACCAUGCUCAGACCCAACAACAUCAAUGCUAAGAUAAAGAAAUAUAAUGCAGCAAGCAUUGAUGACAUGAACAUAGUAUGUUUACCUUUUAAAGCUUUGUGAAUUGCCGAAAGUCUUGUUUCUCCGGUGAUCUUUUUCUUACUGCUUCAGUGCUCUUUUUUUCUUUUUUUUAGGUCAAUCGCCAAUAAUCCUCUCACUCGUAAUACUGUUCCUCUCUUCUGCCUCUGUUUUCUGUUUUUUUCUUUGUUUAUGGUUUUUGAAUAAGGUAUAGAGUGAUGGAUGUUUGUUGGGAUCGUUACGGGUGUGGUCAUGGGGGAAUCCAGAUUGUGUGUGAUGUAUGCCUGUUGAAAUCUGUUGAUGUCUGUGAGUUUGUUGGAGGUGGUCAUUGGUUAAGCAUAGCAGAG